rnacentral:rRNA from 1 species
AACGCGAAGAACCUUACCUACCCUUGACAUGCCUCGAAUCCUGCAGAGAUGUGGGAGUGCCUGAAAGGGAACGAGGACACAGGUGCUGCAUGGCUGUCGUCAGCUCGUGUCGUGAGAUGUUGGGUUAAGUCCCGCAACGAGCGCAACCCUUGCCAUUAGUUGCGACAUUUAGUUGAGCACUCUAAUGGGACUGCCGGUGACAAACCGGAGGAAGGUGGGGAUGACGUCAAGUCCUCAUGGCCCUUAUGGGUAGGGCUUCACACGUCAUACAAUGGCCGGUACAGAGGGUUGCCAACCCGCGAGGGGGAGCCAAUCCCAGAAAGCCGGUCGUAGUCCAGAUUGUAGUCUGCAACUCGACUACAUGAAGUCGGAAUCGCUAGUAAUCGCGGAUCAGCAUGUCGCGGUGAAUACGUUCCCGGGCCUUGUACACACCGUACGUC